CCUGGCUCCAACAUCCCAGGGAAUUGUGUCACUCCCAUUGAGCAGCUGUGGGGCCCUCUCCCACAUGGCCCAGGUCCACCACUCUGUCAAAGGUCGCACAGCCCAGACAAAAACAGGACACAGCAGUGUGUGAAUGAGCCGGGCUUUCUCCUUCCCUCCACGUAAUAGAAGGUGCCUGAGGUUGUUGAAACACAGUCCAUUUCUCCUGGGAAUGACAAGAAUUUGAGGGAUGCUGACUUUCAAGGAAUACUGCAUGACAGGCAUCAAGAUAAACCUGAUGAAGAAAACAUAGGCCAGAAUCUGGGAAUCGGGAGCAAAGUAAUACAGCUUCGGGGACAGGCACGUAAUGAGGUCAUGAUGUAGGAGACUCCCUGCAGGACUGGCGGCCCCUGUUCCCUGGGUUGUUCUGGCUCUUUCAGCAUAUCAGAAUGUCACUCAUCUCCCACCACGCUUACCCAGGAUUCACCAUGCUGCUUUCUUGCCUGGCCUUGCUUGAGCGCUCUCUGGCCUCAGUAUGCUCAGUGCACAGCAUUAACUCCCAUCUUCCAAGUCUUGACCAUGCAAUCAGAAGAGACAUGGAGAACCUACCAUGAGCCAGACACUUUUUC
rnacentral:lncRNA from 10 species